CCCAGUGCUGAGCGGGUUGGGGGUUGGUGCAGCUGAGAUCCAGAGACGGGACAGUCUUCAGCCGGCGGCGCUCAAGCUGGCGGCCCUGAUAAACAAGUGAAUUUCCGGUGACAGGUGACUCAAAGUGCUGCUGUUAGAAGAACCGGGAACGGAUGCUGAGCAGGUGAAAGAACCUGGUGUCCUGGUACCCAGCCCACAACUACUUCCUCCUCCAUCUCACCCAGCUCCUCUCUGUGGCAGACCCAGGACUCUUAGCCUGGGGAUAGUUGCAUCCCCUUUAAGAAACCGAUGAAAGUCUAGAUUGCUGUCAGCCCGCACACCAACCAGCUCCAUCAUGGCGACCUGCAGCUCCAGCAUCGUGAUUAAUGAUGAUGAACCAGGUUAUGACCUGGAUUUAUUUUGUAUACCUAGUCAUUAUGCAGAGGAUCUGGAAAAGGUGUUUAUCCCUCAUGGACUAAUUAUGGACAGAACCGAACGGCUUGCUCGAGAUGUGAUGCAGGUGAUGGGAGGCCAUCACAUCGUGGCGCUCUGUGUGCUGAAGGGGGGCUAUAAGUUCUUUGCAGACCUACUGGAUUACAUCAAAGUACUGAACAGAAAUAGUGACAGGUCCAUUCCUAUGACUGUAGAUUUUAUCAGAAUGAAGAGCUACUGUAAUGACCAGUCAACAGGCGACAUAAAAGUGAUUGGUGGGGAUGACCUCUCAACUUUGACUGGAAAGAAUGUCUUGAUUGUUGAAGAUAUCAUUGACACUGGUAAAACAAUGCAAGCCUUGCUUUCCCUGGUCAAGCGGCAUAAUCCAAAGAUGGUCAAGGUUGCCAGCUUGCUUGUGAAAAGGACCCCUCGAAGUGUUGGCUAUAGGCCGGACUUUGUUGGGUUUGAAAUUCCAGACAAGUUUGUUGUGGGAUAUGCCCUUGACUACAAUGAACACUUCAGGGAUUUGAAUCAUGUUUGUGUCAUUAGCGAAACUGGAAAAGCAAAAUACAAAGCCUAAGAUGAGAGUUCAAGUUGAAUUUGGAAACAGCUAGUGUCCCAUUGAUAUCACCAGUAAAAUUACCAAAUGUUCUAGUUCUGUGACCAGCUGCUUAGUAGAGUUUAUUAUUGCAUGUAUCGUCUAAGAAUUUUAUCUAUUUUGUAUUUUAGAACUAUUAGUUACUGCAUUCCUGAACUCUUUAUUUGCACUAUGAGCCUGUAAACUAUCAUUUCCCUUUGGGUAAAUUGUUGUUUGACUCAUGAAUAAAAAGUCUCUUAAACUGUA